rnacentral:rRNA from 1 species
GACGAACGCUGGCGGCGUGCUUAACACAUGCAAGUCGAGCGGUAAGGCCCUUUCGGGGUACGACGAGCGGCGAACGGGUAGAGUAACACGUGGGUGACCUCGCCCUCCAGCUCUGGGAGUAAGACCCGGGAAACCGUAGGGUCGUAAUACCGGAUAUGACUCCAUGACGCAUGUUGUGGGGUGGAAAGACCUUGUGCGGCUAGGGAGUGGCCCGGCCGGCCUAUCAGCUUGUUGGUGGGGUGAUGGCCACCAAGGCGACGA